rnacentral:rRNA from 1 species
AUUGAACGCUGGCGGCAGGCCUAACACAUGCAAGUCGAGCGGAUGAAGGGAGCUUGCUCCUGGAUUCAUCGGCGGACGGGUGAGUAAUGCCUAGGAAUCUGCCUGGUAGUGGGGGAUAACGUCCGGAAACGGGCGCUAAUACCGCAUACGUCCUGAGGGAGAAAGUGGGGGAUCUUCGGACCUCACGCUAUCAGAUGAGCCUAGGUCGGAUUAGCUAGUUGGUGGGGUAAAGGCCUACCAAGGCGACGAUCCGUAACUGGUCUGAGAGGAUGAUCAGUCACACUGGAACUGAGACACGGUCCAGACUCCUACGGGAGGCAGCAGUGGGGAAUAUUGGACAAUGGGCGAAAGCCUGAUCCAGCCAUGCCGCGUGUGUGAAGAAGGUCUUCGGAUUGUAAAGCACUUUAAGUUGGGAGGAAGGGCAGUAAGUUAAUACCUUGCUGUUUUGACGUUACCAACAGAAUAAGCACCGGCUAACUUCGUG